ACGCUGGCGGCAUGCCUAACACGUGCAAGUCGAACGAAGGCUUCGGCCUUAGUGGCGCGCGGGUGCGUAACGCGUGGGAAUCUGCCCUCAGGUUCGGAAUAACAGCGAGAAAUUGCUGCUAAUACCGGGUGAUAUCGCGAGAUCAAAGAUUUAUCGCCUGAGGAUGAGCCCGCGUAGGAUUAGCUAGUUGGUGUGGUAAAGGCGCACCAAGGCGACGAUCCUUAGCUGGUCUGAGAGGAUGAUCAGCCACACUGGGACUGAGACACGGCCCAGACUCCUACGGGAGGCAGCGGUGGGGAAUAUUGGACAAUGGGCGAAAGCCUGAUCCAGCAAUGCCGCGUGAGUGAUGAAGGCCUUAGGGUUGUAAAGCUCUUUUACCCGGGAUGAUAAUGACAGUACCGGGAGAAUAAGCUCCGGCUAACUCCGUGCCAGCAGCCGCGGUAAUACGGAGGGAGCUAGCGUUAUUCGGAAUUACUGGGCGUAAAGCGCACGUAGGCGGCUUUGUAAGUUAGAGGUGAAAGCCUGGAGCUCAACUCCAGAAUUGCCUUUAAGACUGCAUCGCUUGAAUCCAGGAGAGGUGAGUGGAAUUCCGAGUGUAGAGGUGAAAUUCGUAGAUAUU
rnacentral:rRNA from 1 species